GCUUAGAGAGGGGUCAAUGUCCUAUCAGCUAGUUGGUGGGGUAAUGGCCUACCAAGGCAAAGACGGGUAGUCGGCCUGAGAGGGUGGUCGGCCACACUGGGACUGAGACACUGCCCAGACUCCUACGGGAGGCUGCAGUCGAGAAUCUUUCGCAAUGCCCGAAAGGGUGACGAAGCGACGCCGCGUGUGGGAAGAAGGCCUUCGGGUUGUAAACCACUGUCGGGAGUUAGGAAAUGUAAGGGUGUUAAUAGUACCCUUACUUGACUAAGGCUCCGGAGGAAGCCACGGCUAACUCUGUGCCAGCAGCCGCGGUAAUACAGAGGCGGCAAGCGUUGUUCGGAAUUAUUGGGCGUAAAGAGCACGUAGGCGGCCUUGUAAGUCAGUUGUGAAAGCCUUCUGCUUAACGGAAGAACAGCAUCUGAUACUGCAAGGCUAGAGUGCGGAAGGG
rnacentral:rRNA from 1 species